AAAUAUGCUUUGCAUUUUUGAUCAACAAAUAUUUGGUAAACAACAUCCUUGGGUAAACAGCAUCUACCACUGUAGAUGGUUUUUGGGGUUAAGAGACACAUUUUUCCUGGUAGGCUUUAGAGCUAGGAGAAACAUUUUUCUUCCUCAGUAAAGGAAGAACUGUUGAAAAUCUCUUGUAAAUCUGUAAGUGAGUUGUAAAAUAUGCCGAGUUUCUCAUUUUUUGGUUUUGUUUUUUAGCAAAAUGUUGCCAAUUUUAUUUUAUUUUUUCAGCUUUAUUGAAGUAAAUUUGACAGAUAAAAAUGAUAUAAAUGUAAAUUAUACAUGAUGCUUUGAUAAUCAUAUGUAUGUUAUGACUAAUUACUGCAUGUUUUUUGACCACAAUAGUUUUCCUCAUUUUCUCUCCUGGUUUUCCUUCCUAUCUCACUCCUUCCCUUCCUUCUUCUGUCCUUGUUUCCUUCCUUUUUAUUUCCUCCUUGUUUCCUCCUUCCUCCUCUCUCCUUCCUUUUUUCUUCCUACCUUUCUCCUUUUCUCUUUCUUUCUUUCUCUUUCUUUCUUUCUUUCUUUCUUUCUUUCUUUCUUUCUUUCUUUCUUUCUUUCUUUGUUUCUUUCUUUCUUUCUGUGGCGCAUCCCCAAGGAUUACUUUUCUAAGGAACAUACUGUACUUUGGAUAAAUAUAAGACUACACUGAUGGAAUGACUCCCUAGAUAUUAUGUUUAUUUCAGUGUUUUCCUUAAAAAGUGCAGAUGUUAAGUAAUAAGGAUGGGAUAAGCAAGCAAUGAGGUUGGCCCAGCUGAUAACUGUACACAUGAAAGUUUCCUAAGUGUACUCUGUCGUGAUGAGGUCAGCUCUUGGAGUGUACAGACAGGGUAAAGAGAGAAGAUCUUGAAGUAGUGAGGUUUUCAAUAGUUUAAUGUCAGAGGAGAUGCUAAUGAUAACACUUAUGUUUAGAUGUUUUUGAAAUACAAGUAACACAGUUUGAAUUAUAACUAGAGAAAUUCUGUUGGCAUAGUCUCUUCUUUUUCAUCUGCAUAUAGGGUUGAUGUCAUUAGGAGACUACUUUGUGCUCUAGGUAUCUUUCCUUUGUAGAGGAGAAGCAAGUAAUAAAAGAAACAAGAGAAAUGCAAAUUAAAAUACUGCUGAGAUUCCAUCUCACUCUAGAAAGAAUGACCAAGAUCAAGAAAUAACAGAAGAGAACAAGAACUCACCAAGAAGCAAGCCCUCCCUGUCAACCAGCACCAUGCGUGGGCUGCUGCCAGGGCCCACCCCCUUCCAGCACAUGAGCUGGGAAACAAGAACAGCUGGACCCCCUACCCUUCAAGCAACCGGCUGAUCUGGAGAAACACAGGCUGAGAUGACAGCUGUUGAGGGAAACGGAGAGUUAUACUGCAUGUACAGGCCCUUGAUUUGACAAAGACUGGAAGGGAUUAUCAACAGUCAACCUUUUUCUCUUCUGCUCUGGGCUGGAGAUGACAGACCUAACCCUGUCAACACUUUAAAUAUGUCACAAGUUCAAGGGGAACAUAAUGUAUUACUCUAGUAGUGAAGAAAAAUGAAUUAUUAACAAAAUUAAAUUCCAUUUUUUCAUCCUGUCUCCUGAAGAAAAAGAAGUCAAAAAUUUUUGGAAGAUUAGAGCUUACAUUGAGACCAUUAUUGACAGGAUCCAUGGUGAGCCACUGUGGGGAAAGCCAGAUGCCAGCCUUUUCUUGUGACUCAGUGCCAUUCAUGGACUGUGCGGGAAGAGAACAAGAAAUCAACAAGAAGCAAGCCCUCCUUGAGGAUCAGCACAAUGCAUGGGCCACUAGGGGAACAACCAGACCCCAGCCUUUUCCUGUGAGUUGGUGCCAUUCACAGACUGUGGGGGAAGAGAAUAAGAAGUCACCAAGAAGCAAGAAUUGAUGCCAUGCAUGGGCCACUGGGAGAAGAACCAGAUGCCAGCGCCUUCUGGCAUAUGGGUUGAGAGACAAGAAGAGUCAACCUCCCUCUCCACUGUAAAUGACUAGCUAAUCCAGAGAAACACAGGCUUUGAUGAUAGCUAUUGAGGAUCUGUGAUGUUCAGUUUCCAUACAGAGUACCUCUCAGUGCUAAUCAUCCAUUUAGGAUCUUGGAACAUAGCAAUGAUUAUUCAGUGUUUCUGGCAUGGGAAUUUCAUAUUCUGACUCUGCAUUAAACUAGCAAACUAAUCUUAUGUUUAGAUAAUGUGUGAAGGUCUUCCUGGAUUGUCUUACUGCCUUGAAAAGAGACUCAUGAGAAACAAUGCCGAGGGCCACUGUGUGCAGAUGAAUAAGCUGAACAAUACCUGCAAGAUGUCUCAGGUUGUGCUAUUCAUAUGGGCUCUGUUAGGAAUGGCUUCAGUAGAUUUGUGUACCUUGAAAGUCCUCAAAAUGUCCUCUGCAUUUGCAAUAUAUCAUCAUGUAUGUACUUCCCUCUGCAUGACAAUAGAAAGGGUUAAGUGUGGUUUGGGAGGAGUUUAAUCCUCUUGGGCUUGAAUUUCACUUCUGCCACUGAAAAGCCAUGAAGGCCAUGCGCUAAACUUUCAGAAUCUUUAUGUGAAAUGGGUCUACCUGUGCUUACCUUAUAAUGUUGCUAUGUGUGCAUGGGCCAGGGUAAGGAUGUAGAAGAUGAAAUUAUUAAUUGUGAUCCACACACAUUUUCUCCUUUAAUCCCCAUUUGGCCCUAACACAUGGGGAAACUGAGGGUCAGAGAACAUAAGGCUGUCUUAGAUAAGACAGCUAUGAAGUGACAGAGAAUUGAUUCAAACUCAGAUUUGGCAGCUUGUGCUCCCUCUAAACUAACAAGCUGACUUUGUACCUAUUUCUACGGAGGAAUCUCCUUUUCCUCCAAGCCUUUUUUCAUGUCCAGCAUAAAUAUUAAUGUGGCUACCAUCUGCCUCCAUGGUCAAAUCUAUUUUAGCAAAUGAAGAAAAUUGCUUUUUGUUUGGUUUCGUGUAUAUGUGUUAUGCUUUCUUUUGACUAUCCAGUCCAUUUUUGCUAUAGAGAGUUGGUUACCUAGGGAACUAACAAACAGCACUGGUAAUUUUAAAAAAGUGAGAUGUAAGUUCAAAGUCGUUAGAAUUGUUGGCUGAAUUUCAAGUAGUGACCUCUGUAUUGACUAGAAAGUAACAUAAUUUUACUUUAUAUAUAUAAAAAGGUGGGAGAGAAGUGGAAAAGUUGAGGAGAGUUAGUGAAAAACAGGAGCCUUUAAUUGUAGAUAUUGUACCUGCAGUUGAAAGCUAGAUAAUGAAUAUAUUUUCUUCAGGUAGUAUAAUUUACAUGUAACUCGCAUUGCUUUAGGACAUGUUUUAUGUAUUUAAAAGGAAUAAAUCUGGUAUGUCAUGUUAUAGGAAAUAUGUAGCCACGGAUUGUUUAAAUUCUUUUCUGGAAUCUUCCCUCUCCCAGUGCUUAUCUUUCUUUUUUAAAGAAGUCUUAGCUUAGUUCAAUGAUACAAAGUUCUUUCAAUGCACCAACUAUUGUGAAAAAAAUUACUGAAAUUUAAAAAAUGAAACAAAAUGACCUAGAAUCUCUUUAUCUGCCUCAGGAACUACAACUUAUAAAGAUAAGGGUAGGUCAGAGAGAUUCAAUUGAAAGUGACACAGGAUUUUAGGAAUUAAAGGCAUGACUGGGCAUAAUGCUUAUUUGAGAAAUCUGAGGCUUCUAUACCAAAAUGUUUUAGUCAGCUUUUCCUUUGUUGGAACACAAUAUCUCAUACCCAAAACUUAAAGGAGAAGAGAUUUAAUUUGGCUCCUAGUUUCAGAGUAUUCAGUCCAUGAUCAUCUGACUCCAGGGCAAAAAUAUAGCAGAAGGAUAAAGCAGAGCAAAGCUGCUUAGUUUAUGACAACCCAGGAAGCAGAGUGGGGGAUGAGCAACAGAGAGGAAGGAAUGAAGAGCCAGAUUUAGACCUUAAUGUCACACCUGUAUGACCCACCCAGGCAUCCCAGUUAAGCUUGAGUCACACAAAAUGUACCCAGGGUAUUGGUUUAAAGAGCCCUGUUAAGCUUGAGUCACACAAAAAAGUACAUAGGAUGCUGACUCAGAGAUCUAGGGAGAUGGAAAAUAAGGGUUCAAAAAGAAAAGUUUAGGUCAAGUAGACACAAAAAUUAUAAACACAGACCAUGCAUUUAAUUUUUCUAUGUUUUCUUUUUAUUAUUGUAUUAAGUAAAUAAGUUUGACUAUGGGAGACUGUCUUUAAUCAUGUUUCCUAAAGCCAGAGAAUGAGAAUGUUGAGCCAAAGGAGGUGGGUGUUAAACAGAGCUGUGCUGAAUCUGGAGUGGAGAGCCAAGCAUGUUACUGUUGAAGUGUUUGUUUAAUGGAUCUGGGCAGUGAGCUAAUCUGUUAUGUGCUCUGAAUCAGGACACCAAAUAGCAAAGAGAGUGAGAAUAUAAGGCAGGGACAUCCUGAGGUACUGGGUGUGGCCAUAGAGAUAUUUUCUGAGGUAUCUGGCCUGUGGGUGUUAGACAGGAAGUUUUUAAAGGCAGUGAACCAGUUUAACUUGAAAUUUACAAUGGUUAGGAGGUUACAGAAUGAUAAAAGGAUAGAGAGCUAUUUCAGUGGAAGCAUGCCCACAGUACGCCAGUAUAGGAGGGGUAGUUGAAAUAUUUCACAGAUCUCUUUAACCAUUCUCCUUAGCUGUGUAACACCAACAUUAUGUCAGGUAAGAUUUACUUCCUGGCACUUUUGAACUUUUCAGUUUGGCUCUUAAUCUUGAUGAGUAAAGCCAGUGGUUUGUGACGCUAUGGACUAGGAGAACAGCAAUUAAUAUUAUUCUGAGGAGUCUUUUUCAUAGUCAUAAUAAAUGUUUUUCUCUUGUUGGUGAUAAAACACCAAAAUAAAAUGGCCUCUGCCUGUUCAUACCAGCAUUCAGACUGAAAAAGAUGAAAGGCUUUCCAGAGAAUGUUUAUUGGAAGGCAAAGCAUUUUCAUCCUGGAGGAGGCAGUGGCAGCAAAGUGCUCUGCAUAGCUGAGCACAUGCAGAAGAAGGAAGAAAAUGUGCAAGGAUGAGAUGGAAGAGGAGGCGAACGUCUGAGCACUAGUACCAGGACCAGUGAGGUCUGAGUAGUGCAGUACAGAGCCUGGGUAGCUGAGUGUGACUGUGUGUGCGCAAUGCAGUUCACACACGAGGAAUUAAGAAGGGCAUGCCAAGCAAAGAAGGCGGCAGUCAGACACAGACCAUUAAAACAGAGGGGCUUGUAACCAGUUAUCGGUGAAAGGGAGAACUAACUAGUGGUCAGAACUGAGGACUCAAAUGGACUAUGCAUAUAUUAUAAAUAUCUUAUUUAAUAGUUAAGCGAUACCUUUCAGUAUGUGUGCUAUAUUGAUGUUAUGUCUUUGAAAAUAAAUUAUUGUGUAGCUCCUGUUAUGAAUACCAAUAAGUUCCUGAAUACUUCAAUUUACGUGAGUUUUACCAGCCCCGAACUAACACCCAGAGUUGAUAUCCUCCUCUACUUUGUAUUUACAUGCUUUCUUGUUUUGCUGGCAAGAGUUGAGGAGCCUUGGGUGUUUAUUCAUAUAUUUGAGAUAAAAGAUCUUUGAUGUAAUAGCGUUGCAUAUAAAUGUUGACAGGCUGCCUAUGAUUAAAAAUAUUCCAUUUUCCAAGUGCAGAAAAGUGUAAAUUUAAUGAUGAAUUUAUACAGAAAGAUCACUCCACAAACAUUUGCUGAGGUAUGAAUAUAUAAUAUUUUUAGUAGAAACAAAUAGGAAUGGGCUGAAGUGUUUAUUAAAUGCACAUGGAAAUUCUUCACACGUGAAAAAUAUGACCAAGACUUUCCAGUAUUCAUAGAAACUCCCUUUUAACAGAUUUAACUCCAGACUCUCUCCUUGCAAUGGAUUGUAUUUAAUUGUUAUAUGGACUAGAAAAAAGCUACUCAUUUGUCCCACAAGUAUGAAGGCUGCUGUUUAUCGGAGGACAACAUGUUUACCAACAUGAUCUAGGCGAGUUGUUGGUACGCUGGUAAUCUUGAAAUGCUGACUUAUUAGAUUUUAAGAAGCAGGCAUGCAUAGUUGCCAAGUAAAUGGUUAUUUAACUAUAUGGUUAAUGGUUAUGUAACUAUAACUCAGUUACAUAUGAUUACCACUUGAUAAUCUAAGAAGCAUGACAUUGAGGCAUGAAACUAUACCUCUUUAAAUAAGUUGCUAAGGAGAGAAAAAUAUUCAAAGAUUAAUCUUAGUGUUUGUGUCUUCAACUAUUUCUAAGUGACCUUGGAAAUGCUUAAAGUGUAUGUAUGUAUGUAUGUAUUUGGCUAUUUAAUAACUAUAAAUUAUUUUUUGGUCCUUAUUAAAAAUAUUAUGAGGAUAGAAUAUAAGUUGGAAGGGAGUCAGUUGAAAAAUUUCAGUUCUUUUUUUCUAGGGGAGCUAUAUAGCAAAGAUAUUCUUAAAUAUUCUUCAUGUAUGUAAGGGGUCUUUCAUGUGAAAAAAAGGCAUAAGAAAAGUGUUUCCAUAUGUAUUAAGAAUUCUAGAGAGAGACUGGAGUUAGAUAACUGGGUUGUCAUGAGCUCAGGUGUGAGUAGCCCAUUCCUGACCAUACAGGAGUUAUAUAAUUUGUUCUUUGUAGCUGUCCUUGGCAGCUGCUUUCAUUUUUAGUACCAAAAGAAACAAAGUGAUUCUAAGGAGACAGGAAAACCAAGAUUUGAACUUUGAAGGCCAGGUUCAGAAGCACGUCAAGAAUUGAGGACAGUUGCUAGGCAGGAGAGCAUGGGCAGAGAAUGUGAUGUGCAUUGUGGGAGGUGAGGGUUAUGGUAUUUUGACUGUGGUAAUCACCACAUAAGGUAAAUGUAUGUCCAAUGUACACAUCACACACCUUGGAUAUACUCUCUUUGACAAAUUUUUUAAAAAAGAGCCAUGAGGACCGGGAUUGAAACAUGAUCCAGGGGUCAUGGUAGCAAAUGCAAAAAAUGUAAAAUUAGGGGGAUCAGAGGUUGGUCCUCUGCCUGUAACUAAGGUCUUGAGCUUUCUUGAUGGUUGUCUACUGUCUUUCUAAAUACUAUUCUUAAACAUUUUCUGUGAUUUAAACAUGAAUCUUCAUUUUUGUUUUACUCAUUGGUAUUAGAUGUUUUUCAGAUGCCUCAUAAUUCCUCUUUUUCAUAAAUAUUCAUCAAGAAGCUGCUUUGCAUAGCACUGUUAUUGGUGCUAGGAGCAGAUUACUUCCCUGGGAAGGUAUCUUGCAAACUAUGGAAAGACUAGGAAUUAACAACUGACCAGGGAAGAGCUAUACAAAAGAUGUAAGGUGCUCAUGAGCCUCUUUUUAUUAGAGAAGCUCAGACAAGACUUUUGAGGCUGAGCAUUUAGUAUGUGUUAUAGUUUGGAUGCAGUAUGUCUUCCAGUGGUUCAUGUGCUGGAGACUUGGUCUUCAGUGUGGUGACAUGAGAGGUGGCACAAGUAUACAAUCUAAGAACCAGGACCUAGUGGAAGUGAUUAGGUCAAGUGGGUCUGCCUUCAGAAGGAAUUCAUGCUCCUGGUGUGGAGUAAGUUAGCUCUUAUGAGAGUGAAUUGUCAUAAAGAGUAAAACUGGUCCCUCCCUAUUGUUGGCUUCCAUUCUCACCAUGUAAUCACUGCUUUUCCUAUCAUGAAGGUUUUAACCCCAAGGCCCUAAAAAGAGGAUGAAUAAAUGGGCCCAACUGAUAUUGAAUUACACAAACUUCUUUUUAAAAAUAUAUAUUAUAUUUAAAUCAGCUCUGUACUUAGUAUUAGGUAAAUUCAUUCUUUUGUCUCUUCUUUUUUGCCCGGUCUGGAAGGAAUUUAGACAAACUAAUCUGAGCUCUUACUUUUAUUACUCCUUUAUGGAUUGGCCUGAAUCAUUGCUUCAUGUCUAUAUUUCUCUGCUAGCUACUCUUCAUUCAUGUAAAGUUGCAGGAGGGAACAUUAAACUGGAUUUGGCCUCUGAUCACCUGCUUGUUUCCAAGUGAAAAUCAGGUAAUAUUGCUACAUGAUGAUAUUAAAGGAAAUCACCAACAGAGCGACAAGACAACCCACAAAGUGGCAAAAAAAAUUGCACAGUUGUCCCACAGACAAAGGACCUCUAUCUUGAACAUACAAAGAAUUGAAAAAAAGUCAUAUGCCUCCACCCAAAUUCAAAGACCUAAUCCAUAAAUGGACAUCUGAGAUGAACAUGCUUUUCUCAGAUGAAAAAAUACAAAUGCAAAUAAAUACAUACAAAAAUGUUCAAACUCAUUUGUCAGUCAAGAUAUGCAAAGUAAAACAGUGUUGAGAUUUUAUCUCAUCCUAGAAAGAAUGGCUAUCAUCAAAAAAUCAACCAAUAGCAAAUGCUGGAGGAGCUAUGUUGAAAAAGGAACCUUUCUCUACUGAUGGUAAGAAGAUAGACUAGUCUAACUGUGAAAAUCAAUGUGGAGAGUUCUUAAAAAAAACCAGGAGUAGAGGUCCUAUUUGAACCAACUAUUCCCUUUAUGAAUAUUUUCCCAGAAGAAUUAAAACAUCAUACCACAGUGAUAUGUGUGCACCCAUUUUCCUAGCAGCACAAUUUGUGAUAGCAAAAUCUUGGAAACAACCCAGGUGCCCAUCAACUGAGAAAUGGAUAAAAAAGAUAUGGUGUAAUGUAAUGUAAUGAAGUACUACUCAGACAUAAAGAAGGAUAAACCUGAAACUCGUAGGUAAAUGGUUGCAACUUGAGGCCAUACUCCUUAGGAAAUUAAUCAGACCAAUAUGUGUAACAUUAUUUUGUCUCACUAGUACGAAAAACUGAACAAGUAAAUAGAAUGAAAAUAUACAAUAGAUAUUGUGAAUUGGGAAGAAAUAAUUUAAAAGAAAAGAUAAGCUGUCACUGCGGAAAGAGGAAAAAAAGAAAGGAAAUAGGAAAAAAUAUAAUCAUAUACAAGAUAAUUAAGAUAGUUAGAUGGCUAGCUUCUCUUAGUUCCUUGAAAAGAAAGUUUUGUGCUAAUAUUGUUUGGACAACAUAUCAUGCCUAAAUCUUAUAUGCUGAACAAUAACCACAAAGACAAUACAUAACGUAUCAACUGUUGUAACCUUCCAACUAACCUGUUUUGAAACUAGAUUUCAUUGUUAUGUUUAUCGUUUUUCUUUCUUUCCUUAAAAUAUAAAUAAAUAAAUAAAUUAUUGUGUAAAUUUUUAUUAACUAUUAAAAUAUAAAUCCAGGAUUACUCUAUGUAUUACUCUGAAUGGGAUAAUUUUAUGCUGGAGAAUAGUAUGUUAAUCUGGAAUUGGUUUGGUUUAAGACUAUUCUAAUAUGAUUAUCGCUAACUACCUAGAGAGAAGCCCCAGAUAGUGAGAUAAAAAUAAGUUGAGAUGAUCUAAUAAUAGUGAAAUAAAAAACAUAAAAUUAGAUAUUUGGAUGAAUUUGAAAGGUAUGUAUUAAAUGAACUGAGCUGGUAUCCAGAUUAUUAUAGAGAGUAGGCAUCAGAAGCCCAGAGAACAAAAGUUUCUACUUAUAUAAAUAUGUCUACUGGAAAAAAAACAAAGCACAUCUAAUGAAAUAGUAUGUUGUUAAUUUUGAACUAAAUUAGGUACAGACAGAGGGGCUGCUUUGGUUUAAACAUCACUGUUCAAUUAAUGAAUAUAGUAACUGACUUGUUUGAAAUUUAUUUUCAUUCAUUUAAACCAUGGCAACAUCUUCUUCAGUUGUAUUUAUGUUUAUUUUUAAAUAGAAAAAAUGUAUGCGCUAGACAACUGAGACCAUAUAAAAGCCCGGCCGUGAUCCUCUACUCCUGUCUUUAGCAUUGAGCCAUGUCACCUUAUUGCUUUGCCUCGCUGUUAAUCUUUGGACUAAUGUUUUGUUACAUACUGGGUUGCUAUUUGGGUUAUUUAAGUUUUAAUUUAAAAUUUUAAUUAAAAACUUUAUUAAAUUUUAAUUUAAUAAAUAUUAAAUGAUCCAAAUGGUAAAUAAAAAUACUUGUUUUUUAUUACAAAAAAGAAAAUAGAAGUGUAUAAAAUGAAGACCAAUUGUAAUUCCAGCUAUGCAAAAUAAAUGUCGAUGUGAAAGAAUUACUAACAUUUUAUUGUAUAUCUACAAACCUAAGGCAUUGUUAUCAUUAAUCUUGUAGCUUGAAAGAUUAAGCUACAAGAUUAAGACAUGCUCUGUGCACGGUAAAGGACACUUCAGAGUGUGACUGGGUGCGUCAUGGAGGUUUGACAACACGGACUGGCCCUUUCCUCUCCUGCACACACCUGUUCUGCUUUCUAGCUGCCAUGAACUGAGCAGUUUGCCAUACACCACGGUGACGUUUCUUCUGCCUUACAGCCAGCUGAUUACAGACUGAGUCCUAUGAAAUUGUGAGCCGAAAUGAAUCCUCCUUUAAGUUGUGGAUGUCAGGUAAUUUGUCACAGUGAUGGGAAAGUUGACCAAUAUCAUCAAGUAUAAUUUAUUUUAUAUUUUGCUUACCACUGGGAAAGAAUGUUGUCCAUUAAGCUAUGACAUAAGCUAAAAAGUUUAUACUCACUGAAGAAGUUAUUUUAAACUUUUGUUCUAGGCUUCAACCAUGUAUAAUUUUAAAAUGCAUAUGAAAAGAAAAAUGUAAGAAAAAUGAAUUGGUUAAAACAGUGAUAAAGCCUCUUCACACUCACAGUCCAGCUUUUCUUUAUCUCCUGUCUCUCCUUCGCUUUCUCCCCCUCUUUAUCUCUGUCUCUGUCUCCCUCUGUCUCUCUGUUUUUCUCCCCAACACCCUAGUCUUUUCUUUCCAGUGCUGAGGAUCAAAUCAGCACAUCCUAGGUACACGCUUGAUAGCUGAGCUAUAUCCCUAGCCUUAUGUCACUUUUUGAGUCGAAGUUUUCAAUGUCUUCAUUUUCCUUCCCUCUGUGCUAUCAACAUCAGUAAUGUGACAUUUGUCUACCAUUUCCUAGAGUUUCAUCUAAGCUUAUCUAAUUUUCCCUUUUUUCUUCUAGCCCUGGAAAUUUCAGAUGUCCAGUUUUAGGUGGGCAUGUGGCAGCUCAGACUGAGAAAUUUCUGUUUCUUGGGAAUCUGGCGUGAUCAUGCUCUCAUUAGUGGGACAGGAGGAGGAGUGGUGUGUGCAACAUGCAGCUCACACCCAUAAGAGAAAGUCACUACCUUCUACCUUCCACUUUCUCUCUAUUUUUCCUGUGGACUCACAGGCAUGCAUAGUGACAGUGACCAAACAUUAAUAUUGUAGAGUAAGAUAUCCUAUAGAUAGUGCAACAGCUUGAUACAAAGAAUUUAGGGUUUGGAUUAUUGGUGGGAAAAAGUUGCCUACAUGCUGGGACUGCCUUGUGGGUUUUAGAUGAGGGAAAAAAAUACAUCUUCCAUUUUGAUAAAACAUUGCUAUUGUCAAAACAGGCAAAUCAAUAUCCGUAUUUUGUGUGCCAUUUCAAAAAUUCAUUUUUUAAUCUAAUAUCAUAUUGAAAAUUACAUUUAGAUGGUGUUAAAUAUUUUAAAUGGCUAGGUAACAUUAAAGAUUCAACUAUAUCAUUAUUUGUUUAACUAAAGCUCCAUCACUGGACAUUCAUGUUCUUAUAAUUUUUCUGUUAUAAUAUUGGCACAAAAACUCUGUUAUGUAUACAUGUAUAUACAUAUGUGUGUCUCUGUGUGUAUGCAGAUGGCUGAUCAUUUCCUAAAAUUCAAUUUCUGUAUGUACAAUUACUUGGUCAAAGGUCUUUCACAUUUUUAAAGCUUUUGAAACUUAUUACUAAUAUUAAUCCUGCUACCAAUAUUACUGUACUAAUUUAUUGAAUCAUUAGAUAUAUAUGUAAAUUAUAAUAUUUAAUUUUUAAACAUACUUUCCAUACCAUAAAUCUACAGAUCUUAAUUAUUCAGUUCUAUGGGUUUUAAUAAUUAUAUAUAGUCAUGUAACUGGCACUCAACAAAAAGAGAGAGAGAGAGAGAGAGAGAGAGAGAGUUCAUUUCUAUUAUGCAGACAGUUAUCUUGUGUUCUUUUCUCAAUCACCAUCCUACAGUAUAAACCAUUGCUUGAUUUCUUAUCUUGCCCAUUUUCAGACAAUACAAUAGAAUUUUAUAGGUAUUCUCUGGUUUCUGACUUUUUUUUUUUUACUUUCUUUUCUCCCCUGGAGAUUCAUUCUUGUUAGGUGUCAACAGUGUUCUGCUAUGAAGUUAUUGUGCUAAAAAGUCUGUUCUCUUAUUGAGAAAGAUUUGGAUUAUUUCCAGUUUGAAGAUAUUAUAAAUCUGACUUUUUAUACACAUAUGUUUUUCGUUUCAUUUCUCUUGGGCACAUACUCAAGAAUAGGACUGAUGGGUCAUAUGGUAGAUUUAUAUUUAAAUUUUAUGAAGAGAUAUGUGGCUUUCCAAAAUGUUUAUUCAACUGAAUGCUCCUACCAACAGUGUCUGAGAACAUCCUGGGGAACAUUUGGAAACUUAUCAGUCUUUUAACCCUUCUAAUGGUGUGGAACUGUUUGUUAAUUUGUGUUUUCUUAUGACUGGUAAUGUUGAGCUCCUCUAUACAUCCUUAUUCCAUUCAUAUGUAUUUUGUAACGGGUUGACCCAAUAUUUUUUUCAAGUUGAGCCUUUGGUUUUCAUUUUUGAUUUGUACAAGUUCUUUAUACAUUUUGGAAACAAAUACUUUAACCACAGAGAGUGGAUAGUGUAUUAUGCAUAUUUUCUUUUAUAAGCAGAUA